GAAAAAAGAAACAAAGGAAUAUUCUGGAGCUACCUCCAAGAGAGAGUCCCUGAACCACACUCCAUCAAAUUCCUUUAAAAGGGAAGCACGCCUAACCCCAGUGCCAGAUUGUUUGGCUUUUCAUGUGGCAUUUCUGUAGGAUGCCACCUAACAACCCACUGAGACCUGAAAGGAAUUUCUUCUAAUAUGAGUGGCAGCACCAGGUAGUUGAACCUGGGCUCCAGUCAGCCAGCAUCAAACAUGGAAGGGGUGCAUGGAGAUGAUGGCCAGGACAAAGAUGGGGCCAGGAGGAGGGGACACACAAGGAUGUCCAACAGACACAACGUAUAGAUAGUGCAGCAACACAGUAAGGCUGUGUUCUGAUGACUUUGAAAUAAACUCCAAUGCACAUCCUUUAUAGGGAGGGAAAAGAUCUGUGUGAGAGAGAAACCAAACAGAUACGUUUCCCUGGAGAAUAAAGGCAGAAGCACAGGCUGAGUUUUAUGAUGACGGAUUUAUUACUGUGCUGUUUUUCCUAGGAGAGGUGGAUUGGUGGCAUCUGGAUUCACUGGCAGAAACUGAACCCCUAAGACUUAUCAAGGGAGUGAGGGCAAGAAAAUGAGAGGAAUCUCCACGACCAGCAGUAAGUCAGAGAUCUGCUGCCCAAGUGGACCUGUGGCUAGGAAUCCUGUCAAUUCAGCCAAGAAUUAGAAACAUUCCAGGCAAACACCAGCUCAUGCUGCACAGGGCUUUUCUAAGGCACUGCUCAAUUCCAUAAGAACAGGGAGCAGAGGGCAUGAGACACAAUAAUGCAGAAAAGGGGAGAGGCGAUACCCCAGGAGGUAGUUAGCAGACUCCUGACCCUUCUGGGGCACACCAGAGAGAAGAAGGUAGGGUUAUAGCGCAUGGGUCUGUGUGAACGUGGGCGCACACGUGUGUGCAAGUGUGUGCGGGACGGGCCCAGGGGUGGUGAUGGCAAGGAGGGCUUCUCACCAUUUCUCUUCCGUGCCUCCUCCUUUGUCACUUUCUGCUGUGCCAUUACAUUCUGGGGCGAGCGCCUCCCUGAGCUGGGCUUCCCUGAUUCCUUGCUGAUGACAGAGCCAUUCUCACUGGGUGACCUGCUGGAAGUAACCAUAGCAACAGGGAGAUGGGAAAGGUAUGAAUGAACACAUUUCUGGGGAGAAACUCCAACUCUGCUUUACUCUUUCAUCCACUUAUGAACUUAUGUUUACAUGGAGCCAUCAACCCAAACUUCUGGUCAAAAACAUAAGACCCAUUCUGAGAGGUUAUGCAGGCCACAACCAGCAGGAAUGAGGAGACUGAUGUGGCAAGACGGAAACGCCAGAAAAAUAAAUGCAACGUGGGUUUGGUUUUGGUUUCAGCAUCUUAAUAUCUUCCCAAAUGAAUUGGACUCCCAUGGUCAGCUGAACUGGAACAGAGGACAGUAGUGAACUUGACACAAGCAAAGAUUUGAGAAGUGUUGCCCCUGGGGGCUUGUUUUCUUGCGGUACAUGGAACACCCUGUGAGACAACCUGCGAGAAAUCCAGAGCUGGCCUGCUGGAGGAUGAGAGACCAUGUAGCCCCAGUUACCUGGCCACCCCAGACAAGGUUAUCACCAACAAGCCAGCCUGGCCAACCUACCACCUGACUACAGACACAUGAGUGAGCCCAGCUGAGAUUAGCCAAGCCCAUCUUAGCCCAGAACCACCACCCUGAGCUGAGCCCAAACUUCUGACCCACCAAAAAUCAGGAGCUAAAUAAAAGGCUGCUAUUUUAAGCUGCUAAGCUGUGGAGUAGCUUAUUGUGGAGCAAUAGAUAAC